AGAGUUUGAUCCUGGCUCAGGACGAACGCUGGCGGCGUGGAUAAGGCAUGCAAGUCGAGCGCAUCACUUCGGUGAUGAGCGGCAAACGGGUGAGUAACACGUGGGUAAUUUUUCCUUCGACUCAGGGAUAACCAUUAGAAAUGAUGGCUAAUACCUGAUAGACAGAGGGGGACAUAAGUCAUUCCUCUGUAAAGAUUUAUUGGUCGAAGAGAAGCCUGCGUCCUAUCAGCUUGUUGGUGAGGUAAAAGCUCACCAAGGCGAUGACGGGUAGCUAGGCCGAGAGGUCGGUUAGCCACACUGGGACUGAGACACUGCCCAGACACCUACGGGUGGCUGCAGUCGAGAAUCUUCCCCAAUGAGCGAAAGCUUGAGGGAGCGACGCCGCGUGAAGGAUGACACUCUUCGGAGCGUAAACUUCUUUUCUUAUUGAGAAAACUUGAUCGUAAAUAAGGAAUAAGAGGCUGCUAAUUCCGUGCCAGAAGCAUCGGUUACACGGAAGCCUCGAGCGUUGUCCGGAAUAAUUGGGCGUAAAGCGUCAGCAGGGGGUUUGAAUAGUCGGAUGUUAAAUCUUACGGCUCAACCGUAAGGCUGCAUUCGAAACGUUUAAACUCGAGGAAUCGAGAGGUACAUGGAACACCUAGUGUAGCAGUAAUAUGCAUUGAUAUUAGGUGGAACACCAAUGGCGAAGGCAUUGUACUGGCGAUCUCCUGACCCUCAUUGACGAAAGCGUGGAUAGCGAAUGGGAUUAGAUACCCCAGUAGUCCACGCCGUAAACGCUGGAUACUAGGCAUUGGAAGUUUCGACCCUUUCAGUGUCGUAGCUAACGCGUUAAGUAUCCCGCCUGGGAAGUACGGUCGCAAGACUAAAACUCAAAGGAAUAGAAGGGAGCCCGCACAAGCGGUGGAGCGUGUGGUUUAAUUCGACGCUAAGCGAAGAACCUGACCUGGGCUUGACAUCCUUGGAAUCCCCUAGAAACAGGGGAGUGCCUUUUUGGAACCAAGUGACAGGUGAUGCAUGGCUGUCGUCAGCUCGUGCCGUAAGGUGUUCGGUUAAGUCCGGAAACGAGCGCAACCCUCGUCGAAUGUUGUAUUUUUCAUUCGAGACUGCCCGGGACAACCGGGAGGAAGGUGGGGAUGACGUCAAGUCCGCAUUUCCCUCUGAUGCCCAGGGCGACACACGCGCUACAAUGGGAAGGAGCAACGGGUUGCAUAGCCGCAAGGUGAAGCUAAUCCCACAAAACUUUCCUCAGUUCGGAUUGAGGGCUGCAAUUUGCCCUCAUGAAGUUGGAAUCGCUAGUAAUCCCGAAUCAGCACGUCGGGGUGAAUACGUUCUCGGGCUUUGUACUCACCGCCCGUCACACCAAGAGAGUCGAUAACACCCGAAGGCUCUACAUUUGUAGGGACGAAGGUGGGAUCGAUGAUAAGGGUGAAGUCGUAACAAGGCA
rnacentral:rRNA from 1 species